ensembl:lncRNA
GGAGAGUCUGAGGAGGUGAGACCCUGCUUAGAGAGUCUCUGCAGUCGGCUCUCUGCAGGUGAGACUCCCAGUUGGUUGGUUUAAAACAGAGGAUGCACGGUUUUGUUGAAGAAACUUCCAUGAGAGAACUUUGUGGUUCUAACACUGUACGCCGGGGAACUGAACGACGGGAAUCAAAGCACGGGCUGGUCACCGGGAGACGAGGUGUCGGUGCGGCGCUUCACAGAGAGAGAGAGAGAGAGAGAGCUGUUCGUCUACUGUGGCUGUGGACCUGCGCGCUGAUUAUUCACCGCUGUCAACCCAGGGCAACGGAAAUCGAUCUCUGCUCUAUGGCUGCUGCGAGCCCCAAUGUGGGGGGCAAGUCAAAGUAGCGGUGGAAGGGAAAGUGUGAAUCAUCUGUGACCACCUCUCGCUCCCCUAUAUCUGAAGAUUCCUUUAAAGGAGUUGCCGCUGUUUGAAGUGUUGAUCUAUUAAACAUUUGAAUGAAUACGGGCGGUUCCCUCUGCCGACCGCACCUUUCGG